rnacentral:rRNA from 1 species
CCUACGGGAGGCAGCAGUCGAGAAUCAUUCACAAUGGGGGAAACCCUGAUGGUGCGACGCCGCGUGGGGGAAUGAAGGUCUUCGGAUUGUAAACCCCUGUCAUGUGGGAGCAAAUUAAAAAGAUAGUACCACAAGAGGAAGAGACGGCUAACUCUGUGCAAGCAGCCGCGGUAAUACAGAGGUCUCAAGCGUUGUUCGGAAUCACGGGGCGUAAAGCGUGCGUAGGCUGUUUCGUAAGUCGUGUGUGAAAGGCGCGGGCCCAACCCGCGGACGGCACAUGAUACUGCGGGACUAGAGUAAUGGAGUGGGAACCGGAAUUCUCGGUGUAGCAGUGAAAUGCGUAGAUAUCGAGAGGAACACUCGUGGCGAAGGCGGGUUCCUGGACAUUAACUGACGCUGAGGCACGAAGGCCAGGGGAGCGAAAGGGAUUAGAUACCCUUGUAGUC